UACGUAGGGUGCAAGCGUUGUCCGGAAUUAUUGGGCGUAAAGAGCUCGUAGGCGGUUUGUCGCGACUGCUGUGAAAACCCGAGGCUCAACCUCGGGCCUGCAGUGGGUACGGGCAGACUAGAGUGCGGUAGGGGAGAUUGGAAUUCCUGGUGUAGCGGUGGAAUGCGCAGAUAUCAGGAGGAACACCGAUGGCGAAGGCAGCUCGCUGGGACGGUACUGACGCUGAGGCGCGAAAGCGUGGGGAGCAAACAGG
rnacentral:rRNA from 1 species